rnacentral:rRNA from 1 species
CCCUUAGUAACUGCGAGUGAAGUGGGAAUAGCUCAAAUUUGAAAUCUGGCAGUCUCCUUUUUUCUUUUUUGGCUGUCUGAAUUGUCUUCUAGAGAAGUGCUUACCUGUGCUGGACCGUGUAUAAGUCUCCUGGAAUGGAGUGUCACAGAGGGUGAGAAUCCUGUUUUUGACAUGGACUCCCAGUGCGUUGUGGUGUGCUCUCAAAGAGUCGAGUUGUUUGGGAAUGCAGCUCUAAAUGGGUGGUAAACUCCAUCUAAAGCUAAAUAUGGGCGAGAGACCGAUAGCGAACAAGUACCGUGAGGGAAAGAUGAAAAGCACUUUGGAAAGAGAGUUAAAAAGUAUGUGAAAUUGUUGAAAGGGAAACACUUGAGGUCAGCUGUGUCAGGUAGGGAUCAGCCUAGCUUUUCUGCUGGGUGAAUUUCCUGGACUGACAGGCCAACAUCAGUUUUGACUGCUGGAAAAGGACGGAGGGAAUGUGGCACUUUCGAGUGUG